rnacentral:lncRNA from 1 species
UGUCCGCGAGUUGCCGAAUGAAGCUGAGCGUCUCAGUGGAACCAGGGAUCUCAGGGAUACAGAUAAGCUGAUUCUAAAACCUACAAGAAUGGCAAAGAAACAAGAAGAGCUUAAACUGCAAUCAUCAACAGAGAAGCCUUCUGCAACCAAAGUGAAGACUGAAGCCCUAGGCUAUGGCAGAAGUUGGGCGCCUGAAGUACACAUGGAAAUAUGCCAACUGAACAUUGGACUAUCACGUCAAGGGUCUCCUACCCUUGGGCCAUGGAUCAAUACCAGUCUGUGACCUGUUAGGAACCGGUAGCAGGAGCGCCUGCCCCUGGCUCAGCGCCCGGUGCCAACAGAACACCUUUCAGGAUCCACAGCAACGCAGACAACAUUUUAAAGCACCUGAUGGAUUUGGAAAAUAUUUAAUGAAGACAAUGAUGCUGACAUCUCAAGUUAAAAGGUUCUACAGAGAAGGCAAAGAUUUUGAAGGCACAGGAGACUAUCAUAGAUAUUCACAACGGCAUCUCCCUAAAGGAUUUGAAAGCUUUGCAUCAACCAAAGGAAAAGCACCAGUGAGAGUCAAGAUACAGUUCUAGACAGAUGUAAUUGGUUAAGAUGAGAUCAUACUGGAUGUGGACGGGUCCUAGAUCUGACUGCUGAUAUCCUUAUAAGAAGAAGAAAGGACACGCGGAGACUACAGUGAUGUUGCCACAAGCCAAGAAAUGCCAAGAAUUUCGGGAGCCACCAGAAGAUGGAAGAGGCAGGGAAAAAUCCUCCCCUAAAGCCUUCAGAGAGAGCAUAGCUCUGCCAACACCUUGAUUCUGGACAUCUAGCCUCUUAAACUUCCUCAGGUGUCUCAUUUCUUCUGUCUCAGAAGUCAUGGAUGUCAAUGAAGAUAUGGAAUUCACUUAUUCAUUCUUAUAAAUAUUACUUAGUGUCCUUGUGCUUGGCACUGUGCUUGGUCAUUGAGAUCUACUGUUCAAAAGCAAGAUAACAUACAGGCUGGAACAGCGAGAUGCAAGAAUCCCAAGCCUUCAAAGCCAGCUCCUGCAGAAGAGAGAGGGCCUGGCAGCUGAGCUGGAUGCUUCAGGAGCAGAGGAUCUAUCAACUGCAGACCAAGCAUAGGGAGACGCAGGCAAACCUGGAACAGUAACCCAGCCAGCUCCAAUUGCUCCGACAGUACUUGGUGGCCAGAGAGUCGGCAGCAGAAAGCAUGCCCCGGGCCGUGAAGCAGGAAAUCGACUCUGACUCAAUCCUUGAGGUCUGUAUUACAUCUGGGAGUACAACUUGAAGGGCCCCACACUCUUGUUUCUCAGCACCUCAUAAAUCUAAGCCCACGUGAAGUGAACAGAGCAUCCCUUCUUCAAGAGAAUGGAAAAAGAAAGGAUGCUGAGGAGGAACUGUUGGGGGCAGAGCCCUUGAAGCCAGCUGGCAAGACUGAGACCACUGAUCAAUGCUUUGCCCACUGAAAGGACAACCUUAUAAAGAAUUGGAACCAUUAAGCUUUAAUUUUUAGAAAUUUGGAUGCUAGAGGGAAUGGUCUUUAGGGACCGCUGCGGUCCCUAAACCCAUCAUCUGCUCUGGUGCCAGGAUACAAAUC